ensembl:snRNA U1 U1 spliceosomal RNA
CUAAUACCUGGCAGGGGAGAGAUCAUGACCACGAAGGUGGUUUUCCCAGGGCGAGGCUUAUCAAUUGGACUCUGGACGUGCUGACCCCUGCGAUUGUCCCAAAUGUGGGAAACUUGACUGCAUGAUUUCUGGUAGUGGGGGACUGCAUUUGCACUCUCCCC